rnacentral:lncRNA from 1 species
UGUGUGUUAUACCUGCGGGAAACAUAGUAUAUAUUGAUUAACCCUGCUUUAUAUAUAAACCCAAUGCCCAAGACAGGGUUUUCUGUCAAUAUCGCAAACUGUUUUAUUUCUGAAAAGAUACUUUUACUAUCUUUGUAUUUUCCUGCCAAUUUAUAGUAUUAUUCCGUUUAACUAACUCCCAGUGGGCAGACAAUAGGAAAUAUUUUU